rnacentral:rRNA from 1 species
UACGAAGGGGGCUAGCGUUGCCGUCGAAUCACUGGGCGUAAAGGGUGCGUAGGCGGGUCUUUUAAGUCAGGGGUGAAAUCCUGGAGCUCAACUCCAGAACUGCCUUUGAUACUGAAGAUCUUGAGUUCGGGAGAGGUGAGUGGAACUGCGAGUGUAGAGGUGAAAUUCGUAGAUAUUCGCAAGAACACCAGUGGCGAAGGCGGCUCACUGGCCCGAUACUGACGCUG